AUUCCAGCUCCAAUAGCGUAUACUAAAGUUGUUGCAGUUAAAAAGCUCGUAGUUGAAUUUCUGGUCGUGGCGAUCGGUCCGCCCCUCACGGGGUGUGCACCUGGUCUCUACGUCCAUCCUCGGGGAGAGCGCGUCUGGCAUUCAGUUGUCGGGCGCGGGAUCCUCGUCAUUUACUGUGAGCAAAAUAGAGUGUUCAAAGCAGGCUUAGGCCGUUGAAUACAUUAGCAUGGAAUAAUAAGAUAGGACCUUGGUCUAUUUUGUUGGUUUGCAUUCCAAGGUAAUGAUUAAUAGGGAUAGUUGGGGGUAUUCAUAUUUAAUUGUCAGAGGUGAAAUUCUUGGAUUUAUGAAAGAUGAACUCAUGCGAAAGCAUUUACCAAGGAUGUUUUCAUCG
rnacentral:rRNA from 1 species